rnacentral:rRNA from 1 species
AGUGAACGCUGGCGGCAGGCCUAACACAUGCAAGUCGAACGGCAGCACAGUAAGAGCUUGCUCUUACGGGUGGCGAGUGGCGGACGGGUGAGGAAUACAUCGGAAUCUACCUUUUCGGGGGGGAUAACGUAGGGAAACUUACGCUAAUAACGCAUACGACCUACGGGUGUGAGCAGGGGAUCUUCGGACCUUUUGCGAUUGAAUGAGCCGAUGUCGGAUUAGCUAGUUGGCGGGGUAAAGGCCCACCAAGGCGACGAUCCGUAGCUGGUCUGAGAGGAUGGUCAGCCACACUGGAACUGAGACACGGUCCCGACUCCUACGGGAGGCAGCAGUGGGGAAUAUUGGGCAAUGGGGGCAAGCCUGAUACAGCCAUACCGCGUGGGUGAAGAAGGCGUUCGGGUUGUAAAGCCCUUUUGUUGGGAAAGAAAAGCAGCAGGUUAAUACCCCGCUGUUCUGACGGUACCCGAAGAAUAAGCACCGGCUAACUUCGUG